rnacentral:rRNA from 1 species
UACGGGGGGGGCAAGCGUUGUUCGGAAUUACUGGGCGUAAAGGGCUCGUAGGUGGCCAACUAAGUCAGACGUGAAAUCCCUCGGCUCAACCGGGGAACUGCGUCUGAUACUGGAAGGCUUGAGUGCGGGAGAGGGAUGUGGAAUUCCAGGUGUAGCGGUGAAAUGCGUAGAUAUCUGGGAGAACGACGGUGCGAAGGCGGCAUCCUGGACCGACACUGACGCUGAGGCGCGAAAGCUAGGGUAGCAAACGGG